rnacentral:rRNA from 1 species
GCUCCUACGGGAGGCAGCAGUGGGGGAUAUUGCACAAUGGGGGAAACCCUGAUGCAGCGACGCCGCGUGAGUGAAGAAGUAUUUCGGUAUGUAAAGCUCUAUCAGCAGGGAAGAAGAUGACAGUACCUGAGUAAGAAGCCCCGGCUAACUACGUGCCAGCAGCCGCGGUAAUACGUAGGGGGCAAGCGUUAUCCGGAUUCACUGGGUGUAAAGGGAGCGUAGACGGCCAUGCAAGCCUGGAGUGAAAGCCCGGGGCCCAACCCCGGGACUGCUCUGGGAACUGUGCGGCUGGAGUGCGGGAGGGG